rnacentral:rRNA from 1 species
CAGUAGCCGCGGGAAUACGUAGGUCCCGAGCGUUGUCCGGAUUUAUUGGGCGUAAAGGGAGCGCAGGCGGUUUAGUAAGUCUGGAGUUAAAGGCAUUGGCUCAACCAAUGUAUGCUUUGGAAACUGUUUGACUUGAGUGCAGAAGGGGAGAGUGGAAUUCCAUGUGUAGCGGAGAAAUGCGUAGAUAUAUGGAGGAACACCGGUGGCGAAAGCGGCUCCCUGGUUUGUCACUGACGCUGAGGCUCGAAAGCGUGGGUAGCGAACAGGAUUAGAUACCCCCGUAGUCCCUGUCUCUUAUACA